AGAGUUUGAUCCUGGCUCAGGACGAACGCUGGCGGCGUGCCUAAUACAUGCAAGUCGAACGAAGCUUUCUUUCACCGAAUGCUUGCAUUCACCGAAAGAAGCUUAGUGGCGAACGGGUGAGUAACACGUAGGCAACCUGCCCAAAAGAGGGGGAUAACACUUGGAAACAGGUGCUAAUACCGCAUAACCAUGAACACCGCAUGAUGUUCAUGUAAAAGACGGCUUUUACUGUCACUUUUGGAUGGGCCUGCGGCGUAUUAACUUGUUGGUGGGGUAACGGCCUACCAAGGUGAUGAUACGUAGCCGAACUGAGAGGUUGAUCGGCCACAUUGGGACUGAGACACGGCCCAAACUCCUACGGGAGGCAGCAGUAGGGAAUCUUCCACAAUGGACGAAAGUCUGAUGGAGCAACGCCGCGUGAAUGAAGAAGGACUUCGGGUCGUAAAAUUCUGUUGUCAGAGAAGAACGUGCGUGAGAGUAACUGUUCACGUAUUGACGGUAUCUGACCAGAAAGCCACGGCUAACUACGUGCCAGCAGCCGCGGUAAUACGUAGGUGGCGAGCGUUGUCCGGAUUUAUUGGGCGUAAAGGGAACGCAGGCGGUCUUUUAAGUCUGAUGUGAAAGCCUUCGGCUUAACCGAAGUAGUGCAUUGGAAACUGGAAGACUUGAGUGCAGAAGAGGAGAGUGGAACUCCAUGUGUAGCGGUGAAAUGCGUAGAUAUAUGGAAGAACACCAGUGGCGAAAGCGGCUCUCUGGUCUGUAACUGACGCUGAGGUUCGAAAGCGUGGGUAGCAAACAGGAUUAGAUACCCUGGUAGUCCACGCCGUAAACGAUGAGUGCUAAGUGUUGGAGGGUUUCCGCCCUUCAGUGCUGCAGCUAACGCAUUAAGCACUCCGCCUGGGGAGUACGGUCGCAAGACUGAAACUCAAAGGAAUUGACGGGGGCCCGCACAAGCGGUGGAGCAUGUGGUUUAAUUCGAAGCAACGCGAAGAACCUUACCAGGUCUUGACAUCUUCUGACAAUUCCAGAGAUGGAACGUUCCCUUCGGGGACAGAAUGACAGGUGGUGCAUGGUUGUCGUCAGCUCGUGUCGUGGGAUGUUGGGUUAAGUCCCGCAACGAGCGCAACCCUUAUUGUCAGUUGCCAUCAUUAAGUUGGGCACUCUGGCGAGACUGCCGGUGACAAACCGGAGGAAGGUGGGGAUGACGUCAAAUCAUCAUGCCCCUUAUGACCUGGGCUGCACACGUGCUACAAUGGACGGUACAACGAGUCGCUAACUCGCGAGGGCAAGCUAAUCUCUUAAAGCCGUUCUCAGUUCGGAUUGCAGGCUGCAACUCGCCUGCAUGAAGUCGGAAUCGCUAGUAAUCGCGAAUCAGCAUGUCGCGGUGAAUACGUUCCCGGGCCUUGUACACACCGCCCGUCACACCAUGAGAGUUUGUAACACCCAAAGUCGGUGGGGUAACCUUUUGGAGCCAGCCGCCUAAGGUGGGACAGAUGAUUGGGGUGAAGUCGGAACAAGGUA
rnacentral:rRNA from 1 species